CCUACGGGAGGCAGCAGUGAGGAAUAUUGGUCAAUGGGCGAGAGCCUGAACCAGCCAAGUCGCGUGAAGGAUGAAUGCCCUACGGUUUGUAAACUUCUUUUAUAUGGGAAUAAAGUGAGGCACGUGUUCCUUUUUGUAUGUACCAUAUGAAUAAGGAUCGGCUAACUCCGUGCCAGCAGCCGCGGUAAUACGGAGGAUGCGAGCGUUAUCCGGAUUUAUUGGGUUUAAAGGGUGCGUAGGUGGUUAAUUAAGUCAGCGGUGAAAGUUUGUGGCUCAACCGUAAAAUUGCCGUUGAAACUGGUAGACUUGAGUAUAUUUGAGGUAGGCGGAAUUCGUGGUGUAGCGGUGAAAUGCAUAGAUAUCACGCAGAACUCCGAUUGCGAAGGCAGCUUACUAAACUGUAACUGACACUGAUGCACGAAAGCGUGGGGAUCAAACAGGAUUAGAUACCCGAGUAGUC
rnacentral:rRNA from 1 species